rnacentral:rRNA from 1 species
CCUACGGGGGACAGCAGUAGGGAAUAUUGCGCAAUGGGGGAAACCCUGAAGCAGCAACGCCGCGUGGAGGAUGAAGGUUUUCGGGUUGUAAACUCCUUUUGUUAGAGAAGAUAAUGACGGUAUCUAACGAAUAAGCACCGGCUAACUCCGUGCCAGCAGCCGCGGUAAUACGGAGGGGGCAAGCGUUACUCGGAAUCACUGGGCGUAAAGAGCGCGUAGGCGGGAUAGCAAGUCAGAUGUGAAAUCCUAUGGCUUAACCAUAGAACUGCAUUUGAAACUGUUAGUCUAGAGUAUUGGAGAGGUAGGUGGAAUUCUGGGUGUAGGGGUAAAAUCCGUAGAGAUCAAGAGGAAUACUCAUUGCGAAGGCGACCUGCUAGAACAUAACUGACGCUGAUGCGCGAAAGCGUGGGGAGCAAACAGGAUUAGAUACCCGAGUAGUC